rnacentral:lncRNA from 1 species
UAGAGAUGCACGUGUACGUGUAUAUAUAGAUUCUGUCACUAAGUUUAUCUAUAGAGAUGCACGUGUACGUGUAUAUAUAGAUUCUGUCACUAAGUUUAUCUAUAGAGAUGCACGUGUACGUGUGUAUAUAGAUUCUGUCACUAAGUUUAUCUAUAGAGAUGCACGUGUACGUGUGUAUAUAGAUUCUGUCACUAAGUUUAUCUAUAGAGAUGCACGUGUACGUGUGUAUAUAUAGAUUCUGUCACUAAGUUUAUCUAUAGAGAUGCACGUGUACGUGUGUAUAUAUAGAUUCUGUCACUAAGUUUAUCUAGAGAUGCACGUGUACGUGUGUAUAUAUAGAUUCUGUCACUAAGUUUAUCUAUAGAGAUGCACGUGUACGUGUGUAUAUAUAGAUUCUGUCACUA